GCUGGUUUCAUAUGGUGGUUUAGAUUUAUGUUCCCAGUGUCUAGCACCAUUUGAAAUCAGUGUU
rnacentral:pre_miRNA from 1 species